rnacentral:rRNA from 1 species
GGGAACAUACCCUUUCCUGCGGAAUAGCUCCGGGAAACUGGAAUUAAUACCGCAUACGCCCUACGGGGGAAAGAUUUAUCGGGGAAGGAUUGGCCCGCGUUGGAUUAGCUAGUUGGUGGGGUAAAGGCCUACCAAGGCGACGAUCCAUAGCUGGUCUGAGAGGAUGAUCAGCCACAUUGGGACUGAGACACGGCCCAAACUCCUACGGGAGGCAGCAGUGGGGAAUAUUGGACAAUGGGCGCAAGCCUGAUCCAGCCAUGCCGCGUGAGUGAUGAAGGCCUUAGGGUUGUAAAGCUCUUUCACCGGAGAAGAUAAUGACGGUAUCCGGAGAAGAAGCCCCGGCUAACUUCGUGCCAGCAGCCGCGGUAAUACGAAGGGGGCUAGCGUUGUUCGGAAUUACUGGGCGUAAAGCGCACGUAGGCGGAUAUUUAAGUCAGGGGUGAAAUCCCAGAGCUCAACUCUGGAACUGCCUUUGAUACUGGGUAUCUUGAGUAUGGAAGAGGUAAGUGGAAUUCCGAGU